rnacentral:rRNA from 1 species
UGCGUAGGCGGGCUAAUAAGUCAGUGGUGAAAUCUUCCGGCUCAACCGGGAACCUGCCAUUGAUACUGUUAGUCUUGAGUUCGGUUGAGGUAGGCGGAAUGUGUAAUGUAGCGGUGAAAUGCUUAGAUAUUACACAGAACACCAAUUGCGUAGGCAGUUUACUAGACCGACACUGACGCUGAGGCACGAAAGCGUGGGGAGCGAACAGGAUUAGAUACCCUGGUAGUCC